UUUAUUUGCUCUCUUCUUCUCUCCUUGUAGAGGCUCCUUUCAUAUGAAUCACGUGUGUGAAGCUCCUUGUGCCAUUUAAAAUUCUUUCUGUUAGUUCCAUUCUAUCUACAUCUGAAGGAAUAUUCAAUGGAAAGAUUUGGGGUAGAGUGUGGAGCGGAAUGUUUGAGAUUACGUAUAAACUCAUCACUGGAUUUUGAGACAGGCUAAGUCUCCACUACAGAUAACAAACUUGUCUUAAAGACUUGCCCUGAAUUCUUUCUUGCAUGGAAUCCAAGAACCCUCUCUUGGGGUCUGGAUUGGCACCGCUUCCCAGUAACAUCUUCCUGGCAACCAUGAAGGGACUACACUGAGGAGACCCCCUACACAAAGGAAAUAGAAUGCAGCAUCAAUGGGCAGCUUUUGGAGGGGGAGACUUCAGAGCUCAUGAGACUGCUGGAAAAGUUUCCUUUGCCACUGGCAAACAGCUGCCUGAACUUUUGAUUCAGUGUUGCUGC